GAUAGGUCCCGUAGAUCUGCACACCAGGAGAUGGAGCUCAUUUCUAGACUACGGAAUCCAUUUAUUGUGGAGUAUAAGGAUUCAUGGGUCGAGAAGGGUUGCUAUGUGUGCAUUAUUAUAGGUUAUUGUGAAGGAGGGGACAUGUAAGUACUUUUCUAG